UAACAGCAAACACUUAUUUUGGGACACAGAGUACAUGAUAGUGUUUUGUUUUUCAUGAUUUAUAUUUGAAAUGUAAUCAUAAGACUGCCUGAUUGUCCAAUAAUAUGCAUAUUCAUAACUAACAAUGAUAUGAUCAAGCUCCAUGCAACCUGGUAUCUUGGAAAUUUUUGUAAUGUAUAAAAUGGAUACACCAUGUGCCACCGUACGAGACAUUUAGGGCUAGUUUGGUUUGAGUCCUGGACACGAACGAAACAUCUUCCAGGCUGCUCUCAGGCAGGCUCCAGGACAAGCAAACUUUUGUGUGGACUUCAACUAAACUAGCCCUUAGACCUAUGGUGUGUAAUUCUGCACAUGAAAACAUACCACCCACACAUGCACCGGAGAGGAGCCCCUUGAAAUCUGCGAGUACGAGAAAAACAAGUUACUUGGAUGAAGAUGUUUUUGAUGAGACAAAAUUCAUUGCGGUGAGCAUUCAUUGCAACAAAAGCAAUACGUAGGCAUUUGGGUGAUAUCACCAUAUCCCUGUGUUUUUUCUUCUAAAUCUGUUUCAGCCCUAGUUGUUGAAGGUGUAGAGGUCCAAGAAGAGGAAAUAUCCGAUGCUCAAUAGAGAAAACUAACGGCCGCGCAAGAGCCAGAACCCAUGAGUCAUGGAGUGGUUUGGCCGUUUCGUGACUAUGAAAUUCGUUGCGUAUUUUGGGAGUCCGUGGGGCCCCGAGUGAUUUCACAGGGUGCCCCACAGCUAACACCGAAGAAAAGCAAACCUACUCCGUACAUAAUUAGUGUGACUACGAAGCUAAUUGGGUAUACAACGGUAAACUACUGGGCGUUGUUUAUCAGAGGUUUGACCAGCCAUGGAGGGAGCGAAGAAAGAGCGCACGAUGGUGAUAAAAUAUCAAGCCAUCUCGAUUUCCGCUGUCCCCCAGAAAUAAUUCUAAAAACAAGGGAUAGAAUUGGCAUCUUCCUGCCACUCUCUUCCCACCAGGCCAGCAGUGAGACCAAACCAUGGCAGCACCAGUGGCCAUGUGUCGCGCUCGAUGGCCCUCACCACCAUGUCCGCCGAGAUGGCGUCGCAGGGCCCAGUGGCAGUGAGCAACAACGCCGUGGUUCUGAGGCGGUAGGACUCUGCCUCCAUCGCCGGCGUGCUGACCACCGAGCUGAUGGACGUCAUCGGCCUACGAUGCGCCGCCCCCGGAAUGUACUACUCCUCCAUUGGACCUUGGGGCGGCACCGGAGCACUCGGCGGGGGUGCGGCAGGGCCUUCCUUUGGUGCCUGCAGAUAGCGGUGGACGGCGGGGGUGCGCGACCUGGCGUGGGGGGUGCGCAGCAUGGCAGAAGUGAGAUCGGGGGCGUGCCCAGCAGUGUCUUUUCUACGAACAGGGCACUCACGCUCGAGAUGGCCCGUUCGCUUGCAGGUGUAGCAGAUUCGAGGGUCGCGGCACUCGAAGAAUUUAUGCCGGGGGGCGAGGCAUCGGUAGCAGCAGUUCCCAAAUCUCCUCUUGAAGGCCUCUGCAGCUGCGGAUGCCGGGCGUUCAUGGUGAGAUCCCGCCGAAUCCUUUGGCCGCUGCCGCGGGCAAUCUAUCUGGCGCCUCGCCAGGCUCCUCUCACGCCUCGAGAGCACCCGCGUCCACUCGCGGCUCGCUGUGGCGGGGUCAGGCGGUACGGGCGGCGUGCAAAUCUGAUGCCCAGACGCAGGAGAUCCCUCGCGUGCCUGACGAGCAGCGGUGCCCGGAGCGGGGCUGGCGUCCACCACCGCAGGAUCCACAAUAAUGGAGUUCAGGCGCGGCCUGGCCGAAUUGGCCACAUCAGCCCAAGAGCGGCGGAGGAGCUCUGGCAGCUCGGACUGAGUGGUGUGCACCUGCCCGGGAAAGGAAAGGGAGGGGGGCGCACUUACUCGAGAUGCAGCCUCCUCCGCCAUGGCGGACAGAGCCACACACGGAAGGAUUCUCCCGGAGACCAGGUCCACCCAGCCCUCGGGCGGACCGACGACUGCCUCCCGGAGAGCGAUACAGGGCAGCACGCGCCCUGAUGCACCAUCAAUGAGCUGCGGCAGCCCCAGGCCGGCGAGCGUAGGGGAGGCCGCCGCGGUAGCUGCGGUAGGUGGUGGAGCGAGUAACAUCUCGCGAGCUUAUCCAAUGCGAGAUUCUGAACCCUCUCUGCUGCAGAGAUCAUCCCUGGCGCGACAUCGACGUGGCUCCUUGCUUUCCGGAGGAUUUCAUCCUCACCCUGAAGGAGCGUCGACAGUGCGACAUGGUCUUCGAAGGGCGCUACGUGGAGGUGGCCGG
rnacentral:lncRNA from 1 species